rnacentral:rRNA from 1 species
CCUACGGGUGGCAGCAGUGAGGAAUAUUGGUCAAUGGACGAGAGUCUGAACCAGCCAAGUAUCGUGAAGGAUGACUGCCCUAUGGGUUGUAAACUUCUUUUAUAAAGGAAUAAAACGAGGCACGUGUGCCUUUUUGCAUGUACUUUAUGAAUAAGGAUCGGCUAACUCCGUGCCAGCAGCCGCGGUAAUACGGAGGAUCCGAGCGUUAUCCGGAUUUAUUGGGGUUAAAGGGAGCGUAGAUGGGUUGUUACGGCAGUUGUGAAAGUUUGCGGCUCAACCGUAAAAUUGCAAUUUAUACUGGCAUUCUUGAUUACAGUUGAGGUCGGCGGCAUUCGUGUUGUAUCGGU